ACGGGAGGCAGCAGUGGGGAAUAUUGCACAAUGGGCGCAAGCCUGAUGCAGCAACGCCGCGUGAGCGAAGAAGGUCUUCGGAUCGUAAAGCUCUGUCCUAAGGGACGAAGAAGUGACGGUACCUUAGGAGGAAGCCCCGGCUAACUACGUGCCAGCAGCCGCGGUAAUACGUAGGGGGCGAGCGUUAUCCGGAAUUAUUGGGCGUAAAGAGUACGUAGGUGGUUUAGUAAGCGAGGGGUGAAAGGCAUGGGCUUAACCCGUGUUAGCCUUUCGAACUGCCAGACUUGAGUGCAGGAGGGGAAAGCGGAAUUCCUGGUGUAGCGGUGAAAUGCGUAGAUAUCAGGAGGAACACCGGUGGCGAAGGCGGCUUUCUGGACUGUAACUGACACUGAGGUACGAAAGCGUGGGGAGCAAACAGGAUUAGAUACCCUGGUA
rnacentral:rRNA from 1 species